rnacentral:rRNA from 1 species
AUACGGAGGGUGCAAGCGUUAAUCGGAAUUACUGGGCGUAAAGCGCACGCAGGCGGUUUGUUAAGUCAGAUGUGAAAUCCCCGGGCUCAACCUGGGAACUGCAUCUGAUACUGGCAAGCUUGAGUCUCGUAGAGGGGGGUAGAAUUCCAGGUGUAGCGGUGAAAUGCGUAGAGAUCUGGAGGAAUACCGGUGGCGAAGGCGGCCCCCUGGACGAAGGCUGACCCUCAGGUGCGAAAGCGUGGGGAGCAAACAGGAUUUGAUACCCUGGUAGUCCACGCCGUAAACGAUGUCGACUUGGAGGUUGUGCCCUUGAGGCGUGGCUUCCGGAGCUAACGCGUUAAGUCGACCGCCUGGGGAGUACGGCCGCAAGGUUAAAACUCAAAUGAAUUGACGGGG